AUGAGGAAAAGUGGCGGAAGAAUAACUUAUCCUUCAUAUAGCCGGCGUGGAUCCAAAGGUGGAAGGCGAGGUUUAGGGGUCAAAGGUGGAUUCCGGUUAGGCUGGGUUCAGACGGAGGUUUCUGGUAAUGGUCAAGGGUGGCUCAGGCGCGGUUCCAGCGAGAUGGUCAGAGUUCUGGCGGUGUUUAUGUUCUUCGGUCAGGUGAGUUUGUGA